rnacentral:rRNA from 1 species
GUGGGGAAUAUUGGACAAUGGGGGGAACCCUGAUCCAGCCAUGCCGCGUGUGUGAAGAAGGCCUUUUGGUUGUAAAGCACUUUAAGCGAGGAGGAGGCUACCGAGAUUAAUACUCUUGGAUAGUGGACGUUACUCGCAGAAUAAGCACCGGCUAACUCUGUGCCAGCAGCCGCGGUAAUACAGAGGGUGCAAGCGUUAAUCGGAUUUACUGGGCGUAAAGCGCGCGUAGGUGGCCAAUUAAGUCAAAUGUGAAAUCCCCGAGCUUAACUUGGGAAUUGCAUUCGAUACUGGUUGGCUAGAGUAUGGGAGAGGAUGGUAUAAUUCCAGGUGUAGCGGUGAAAUGCGUAGAGAUCUGGAGGAAUACCGAUGGCGAAGGCAGCCAUCUGGCCUAAUACUGACACUGAGGUGCGAAAGCAUGGGGAGCAAACAGGAUUAGAAACCCGUGUAGUCC